UCUUAAAGUGAUAAAAAGUAAAAACAAGUUUCUUUUUGUUGCAUGUAUAGCAGACAAAAUAUGGCUCAAAUUGCAAAAUUCUUUUAUGUUUUUAUCAUCUUACUUUUUCACCUUUCUAUUGUAUUCUGCGACUCCAAAUCUAAUGGAGCUUUCGUGCCUUGCAUAGAUUACACUGAUUGUUCAUUAAGUUUGUGCUGGCCUCCAGAAAUAGCACGUUGUUUUAAUUCCUUUUGUGCAUGUCACGACCCCAAGCAUAAGUUUAAGGUCAGAAGUUCUAAGGAUUGAUUUUAAUGACAACUGCUUUGCUCAUCAUUGCGUUUUAAAAUAAAUAUCUUUAAAUAAAUACUAUCUUUGUAAUGUACUUUUCUCGUUUGUUUCUGUUGGAAAUGUGAAUUUCUCCAUUGCACCUUUUUCUUGUGUCUGCAUGCAUCCAUAAUUUCUAUCUGACAUUGAUUAACAUACAACCAUUUCUUUGAUACUGCUGAUGGAAAAUGCUGUAACAAAAUAGAUGAUAGAGUUGUAGCAACUAAUUUUGACUGCAACUUUUGAUAAACUGUAUCAAAUACAAAUACUUUUUUUACCAGAAUAUAUUUUCCUUACAAAAGAUUUGUAACUAAUGACCUUUUUCCAUGUAAAAUCUCCAUGUAACUGAAAAUCAAAAUCACUACCACCGUCAUCCGGAUCUAGAUCUUCACCACUACUAUCAAGAGCCGAUUGAUUUACUUCAUAUAUGCAAUCUUAAUUAGGGGCAUUCAAAAUCAAACCAACCCAAUAAAAAACUACAAAUUAAAUCAAAUUGAAAUCGCAAAAAACUGUAUUUGAUUCGGAUGUGUUUAGGUCGUCUUUUAUCAAAAUCGCAUGGUUCGGUUCAGUUUGCGGUUUGUAUUUUGCAAACCGAAUCAACAAACCGCAUUAUGUUACAACCUAAAUUUUACUUAACUCACAUCAACCCAAACUUAAAUUUAUUAUACCUUUGCCUUAUGAUUAUGAACAAUUUUCUCAUCCUUACACUUAUGGUUUUAGUUUAAGUCUUUUCUUAAAUCACUCAUAUCAUUAUCGCACCUUCUUCGCCACAUACAAGUGGUCUCUUCUUCUCUAAUCUCUCUCAUUCUAUAUUAUUUAAUGUUUAUUAUUCCACUUUUAUCUAAUCUAAUUUUUACAUAUUAAAUGAGAAGUUGGUGUCCAAAUAUGAAUAAUUUUUUUAUUAUUUGAUAGUGUAUGAAUGACUAAUUACAAAUUUAUGUUCUCGUCUAUAUGUGUAUUAAUGGUUCAAUAAAAUUAAAAAUUGAACCAACCAAACCGAAUCAAACUGUAUUGGUUUGGGUUGGUUCGGUUUUUUUAAAAGCCAACCGAACAAAAACCAAUCCGCACAUUUUUUUAUUGUGGUUCAGAUGAUUUUUAGUAGGGGUGUAAUCAGAUCAGUUUGGACUGGUUUUUGGUCAAAAAAAGGUCCGGACCAAUAAUAUAUUCAUCGGUUUGGUUUGGUUUUUUAACAUUUUUCAAAAAUGGAACCGAACCAAACUAAUCAGUUUGGUUCGGUUUGGGUUGGUUCGGUUAAUCGAUUUUUAAUAUUUUUUUCAAACGUUAUAUCCAUCAAUGUAUUUUCCAAUAUUGUAUU